GCCUUGAUGUGUAGGAUAGGUGGGAGGCUUUGAAGCGUGGACGCCAGUCUGCGUGGAGCCAACCUUGAAAUACCACCCUUUAAUGUUUGAUGUUCUAACGUGGGCCCCUAAUCGGGGUUGCGGACAGUGUCUGGUGGGUAGUUUGACUGGGGCGGUCUCCUCCCAAAGCGUAACGGAGGAGCACGAAGGUUAGCUAAUCCUGGUCGGACAUCAGGAGGUUAGUGCAAUGGCAUAAGCUAGCUUGACUGCGAGCGUGACGGCGCGAGCAGGUGCGAAAGCAGGUCAUAGUGAUCCGGUGGUUCUGAAUGGAAGGGCCAUCGCUCAACGGAUAAAAGGUACUCCGGGGAUAACAGGCUGAUAC
rnacentral:rRNA from 1 species